rnacentral:rRNA from 1 species
GUAGGUGGCAAGCGUUGUCCGGAAUUAUUGGGCGUAAAGCGCGCGCAGGCGGUUUCUUAAGUCUGAUGUGAAAGCCCACGGCUCAACCGUGGAGGGUCAUUGGAAACUGGGAGACUUGAGUGCAGAAGAGAAGAGCGGAAUUCCACGUGUAGCGGUGAAAUGCGUAGAGAUGUGGAGGAACACCAGUGGCGAAGGCGGCUCUUUGGUCUGUAACUGACGCUGAGGCGCGAAAGCGUGGGGAGCGAACAGGAUUAGAUACCCUGGUAGUCCACGCCGUAAACGAUGAGUGCUAAGUGUUAGAGGGUUUCCGCCCUUUAGUGCUGCAGCAAACGCAUUAAGCACUCCGCCUGGGGAGUACGGCCGCAAGGCUG